ensembl:snRNA U6 U6 spliceosomal RNA
GUGCUUGCUUUGGUAGCACAUAUUCUAAAAUUGGAAUGAUACAAGGAAGAUUAGCAUGGUCCCUGAGCAAAGAUGACAUGCAAAUCUGUGAAGCAUUCCAUAUUUUU